UCCCCAGGGUCUCAGAUGGUAGAGAAUCUGCCUGCAAUGCAGGAGAUCUGGGUUCAGUCCCUGGGUUGGGAA
rnacentral:tRNA from 1 species